AUACGGAGGGUGCAAGCGUUAUCCGGAUUCAUUGGGUUUAAAGGGUGCGCAGGCGGAUAUUUAAGUCAGUGGUGAAAUCCCGGGGCUCAACCUCGGAACUGCCAUUGAUACUGAAUAUCUUGAAUACGGUUGAAGUGGGCGGAAUGUAGCAUGUAGCGGUGAAAUGCAUAGAGAUGCUACAGAACACCGAUCGCGAAGGCAGCUCACUAAGCCGAUAUUGACGCUCAGGCACGAAAGCGUGGGGAGCGAACAGAAUUAGAAACCCUAGUAGUCC
rnacentral:rRNA from 1 species